rnacentral:lncRNA from 1 species
AAAUCGGUAAAUUGAGUCGUGUAUUUUUGUCGAAAUCACUUGUACUCAAGUUUUCUUAGUGGAUUUUCUUCGCGUGAUCAGUCCCGUGGGUUUUUCACUCCGAAUUGGAGUUUUCCCACGUUAAAUUCUCGGUGUGCUGUUUUAUUUUCCGCUACUUUGUUUUAUUUGCAUCGAGAUUUUCGAGUUUGUCGUUUUUACACCUAUUCACCCCCCUCUAGGUGUUACUUACCUUUUAGAUCCUCGGGAUCCAUAUCU